rnacentral:rRNA from 1 species
AAACCCAACCAGGGGAUUGCCCCAGUAACGGCGAGUGAAGCGGCAACAGCUCAAAUUUGAAAUCUGGCCCCCAGGGUCCGAGUUGUAAUUUGUAGAGGAUGCUUUUGGCGCGGCGCCUUCCGAGUUCCCUGGAACGGGACGCCAUAGAGGGUGAGAGCCCCGUCUGGUUGGAUGCCAAGCCUCUGUAAAGCUCCUUCGACGAGUCGAGUAGUUUGGGAAUGCUGCUCUAAAUGGGAGGUAUAUGUCUUCUAAAGCUAAAUACCGGCCAGAGACCGAUAGCGCACAAGUAGAGUGAUCGAAAGAUGAAAAGCACUUUGAAAAGAGGGUUAAAUAGUACGUGAAAUUGUUGAAAGGGAAGCGCUUGUGACCAGACUUGGGCCCGGUUGAUCAUCCAGCGUUCUCGCUGGUGCACUCUGCCGGCCCAGGCCAGCAUCAGUUCGCCGUGGGGGACAAAGGCGCCGGGAACGUGGCUCCCUCGGGAGUGUUAUAGCCCGGCGCGCAAUACCCUGUGGCGGACUGAGGUUCGCGCUCCGCAAGGAUGCUGGCGUAAUGGUCAUCAGCGACCCGUCUUGAAACACGGACCAAGGAGUCGUCUUCGUAUGCGAGUGUUCGGGUGUCAAACCCCUACGCGUAAUGAAAGUGAACGCAGGUGAGAGCUUCGGCGCAUCAUCGACCGAUCCUGAUGUUCUCGGAUGGAUUUGAGUAAGAGCAUACGGGGCCGGACCCGAAAGAAGGUGAACUAUGCCUGUAUAGGGUGAAGCCAGAGGAAACUCUGGUGGAGGCUCGCAGCGGUUCUGACGUGCAAAUCGAUCGUCAAAUAUGGGGCAUGGGGGGCGAAAGACUUAAUCGAACCUUCUAGUUGGCUGGCGUGUCCCGACAGAAG